rnacentral:rRNA from 1 species
AUACGAAGGGGGCAAGCGUUGUUCGGAAUAACUGGGCGUAAAGCGCACGUAGGCGGAAUGUUAAGUUAGAGGUGAAAUCCCAGGGCUCAACCCUGGAACUGCCUUUAAUACUGGCAAUCUAGAGACCGAGAGAGGUGAGUGGAAUUCCGAGUGUAGAGGUGAAGUUCGUAGAUAUUCGGAGGAACACCAGUGGCGAAGGCGGCUCACUGGCUCGGUACUGACGCUGAGGUGCGAAAGCGUGGGGAGCAAACAGGAUUAGAAACCCUAGUAGUCC